rnacentral:rRNA from 1 species
AUUGAACGCUGGCGGCAUGCUUUACACAUGCAAGUCGAACGGUAACAGGCCUUCGGGUGCUGACGAGUGGCGAACGGGGGAGUAAUGCAUCGGAACGUGCCCAGGGGUGGGGGAUAACGCAGCGAAAGCUGUGCUAAUACCGCAUGUGAUCUGAGGAUGAAAGCGGGGGACCAGGCAGCAAUGUUUGGCCUCGCGCCUUUGGAGCGGCCGAUGUCAGAUUAGGUAGUUGGUGGGGUAAAGGCCUACCAAGCCGACGAUCUGUAGCUGGUCUGAGAGGACGACCAGCCACACUGGGACUGAGACACGGCCCAGACUCCUACGGGAGGCAGCAGUGGGGAAUUUUGGACAAUGGGCGCAAGCCUGAUCCAGCAAUGCCGCGUGCGGGAAGAAGGCCUUCGGGUUGUAAACCGCUUUUGUACGGAACGAAAAGGCUCUGGCUAAUACCUGGGGCUGAUGACGGUACCGUAAGAAUAAGCACCGGCUAACUACGUG